GACUGCAGAAGCCACACAGAAGAAGUUCCCUCUUCCAGGAGAGCAUUGGGCUGGAGGCAGGACGCUAUGAUGUCCCCGUCCGGCUCAUCAGCAUGCAGGGUGGUCUUGGUGCCUCUUCUGUGCCAGGCUUGUGUUCAGUGAAAGGGACAUAGCGAUGCUCAAGAUGGUCCUUGCCUUUCUGAUGCUUAAGGUCCAGUGAAUAAUACACUGAACAAGGAAUAACAGAACCUCCGUUUCUUGAGGGCAAGAAUUCUGUCUUGAUCUUCUUCACAUGCCCUGGUUGGAACCUGGUGGGCCUUGGAUACGUAUUUGCUGGCUGGAUGGCCAUCCGUCAUUGCAUAACCCUUGUGAAGCAGUUCUCGUGACCCAGACCUUACAGGCUGCUCUUGGUGGAGCCUCAUCUGCUGGCCUCCAGAUCAGUGCGAUGUCCAGAUGUCAGGGUCGGAUGAGGUUCCAGAGGCCACAGGAGACUGAGAAGAGCUGCUGACCACAUGAAAAAGGUGUGUUCAGAAGACAGAGCACACAGUCUGGGCUAGCCCAUCAAAACUAUGGAAACCACCCUGCUUCUUCUCCUACCUGAUGUCAGCAGCUUGAGGACGGAGCAUG